GACGAACGCUGGCGGCGUGCUUAACACAUGCAAGUCGAACGGAAAGGCCCUGCUUUUGUGGGGUGCUCGAGUGGCGAACGGGUGAGUAACACGUGAGUAACCUGCCCUUGACUUUGGGAUAACUUCAGGAAACUGGGGCUAAUACCGGAUAGGAGCUCCUGCUGCAUGGUGGGGGUUGGAAAGUUUCGGCGGUUGGGGAUGGACUCGCGGCUUAUCAGCUUGUUGGUGGGGUAGUGGCUUACCAAGGCUUUGACGGGUAGCCGGCCUGAGAGGGUUACCAGCCACAUUGGGACUAGCAUAAGGCCAAGGCAUCUACGGAGUGCAGCAGUGCGGAAUACUGACCAAUGGACGGAAGCCUGAUGCAGCAACGCCGCGUGCGGGAUAACGCCCUUCGGGUUGUAAACCGCUUUCGCCUGUGACGAAGCGUGACUGACGGUACUGGGUAAAGAAACACCGGCUAACUACGUG
rnacentral:rRNA from 1 species